ACAAUGCCAAUAAUUUCCACCAGUUAGUCAACCAUGAAGAUCUAUUUUCGAUUACAUUUAGACAGAAUACACAAAUUCCACAGUGUUCAGUGGUUUAUGGGCAAGCAGACUAUUCAAAAGAACUUCAAUCAACAACUGAUUCCCGGAGUCAAGCUUACAGAAUAUAUCUCCCAGGAACAGCCAUCAAAUCAAAGUGUCCAAAAACACUCAAAGUCAUGUGUAAUAUAGGAAAAAGAAGAAUAGUCAACACCCUGCAACCAGAUAACGCAGAUUGUCUUCAUACCACAUUAACACAAACGGAAGGACUCAAGGAACACGACAAGGAUCAGACUAUUGGAAUUGUUGGACUUGUGAUAUUCAUGAUAAUCUUUGUAGCCGUUGUUGGCAGCUGUAUUGUUUCUAUCAUCAUUAUGGAAUGUAAACGAGUUUUUAAGAGAUAUAUAUAAGUUACCUUCUCGACAGAUUUAGAUUUUGACAUUUUUACAAAACUGUCCUUAAAUGUUUCUUAAGAAAUUUGUAUUUCAAAUUAUAUUUGAUAUAUCAACAUACAUAGCAACGGUUGCUGAAAUUAAAUCUGAAGGUUUAACUAAAAUUUUUGACAUCGACCUACAUCUAGAACAUACAUGAUAUAAAUUAGAAGAUCCGGUAGGUGUGUCAAUAGCAUUAUAUGUAGGCCAGGGUCCAUGUCCUAAAUAGUUUUUAGAAAAACCAAACAUCACGUUUAAAAGUUAGCGCCUCUGAAAUCGACAUUUUAGCAAGUUUUGUAGUUUUUAACCUGCAAUAUUUUGUAAAGCGGUUAUAGUAGUAUUCGAAUUUAGCAGUUCAAGGUCUAACUAAGUUUUCCAAACUUUUUAUGAUCUAUUGUCUAGUUUUGCAUUAUUUUGUUACCAUCUAUUAUCUUAAAGCAAAACUCAUAUCAUAUAAUAAGUUUUGCGAGAAAUAUUCCUCUUUGUAUGUAAAAAGGUAGGACAAAUACACAGAUAAGAGUUAAAUCAACGUUCGAAAAUCACAACAUGACCAUUAGUUAAGGAGGUCAACGCAGCAAGCACAGAAACCGACAUCCUCUCUGAAAUCAUCAUAUUAGAUGCAUAUUUGCGUCAGUUUUUGUUUGACUCAAGAGUUGUGAAUAUCU